CCUGAGAGUCAGGAGGUAGGGACUGUAUGAUGAGGAAGGCACACAGUUUGUUCUGUACAGGAUUUUUUUAGAAGCCCUCCUUCAUCGUGUGGAUGGCUCAGUUCCUUAUCUGGAUUCAGAGUUCUCUAAGGAAAUAGGGGCUCUGCCCGGUCCCAUCACUGGACCCACCAGCAGGACCACUGGCAGGGACGUACACACUCCAUCACAUGUUCUCUGCAUCAUGCUCUCCUCCUGCUCCCUUCCAACAAAAGCUCUCAUGACAACCCUGGGGAGACAGGAGUUCCUCUCCAUGGACCAACUGUAACAGCCAGCACCAGGCUGCGAGAAUUAACAGGAGCCCAACUCCAGUCACCAAGCGUUCUGCGUAAGGGUGGAAGAGCUCUUUGACUCGGUCGGUAUGGUGCAGCACUCGACUCUGCAUGUCCUGCAGCAGGUUCAGCGCCUCGUCCACGCCCCCCAGGAGCUGAGCCUUGGUGUCUUCUCCCACCACGCGCAGCUGCUCCUGCAGCUCCUGCACACUCAGG
rnacentral:lncRNA from 1 species